UUGGGGAUUUUAAUCGGAAGGUUGAUUGCCUUUUCUUCUUUGCUGGUACACUUUCCAUCACUUUAGCUUCCUUGGGGUCCACAGACAGACUUUUAAUCUCCCCCCUCACAUUCACCAUCAUGUUCCUGAUCUUUGUUUGCUUGGGGCUUGACUCCUUCUAAUAUGAAUAUUAGGCAUCUUGCCAUCUCCGAUGACAGAUCAGCUCUUUGAUGUGUCUAAUUAUGAUGGAGAGGGGGCAGAGAAAGCAGGACCUCCUGAAGCCAGGAUAAAUUUGCUGUCCUUAUAAACUCUAAGCAGUAAUGUGUUCCUCUGCUUCCCCUCUUGCAUGUGGCAGCAUCCCAAACUCCUGUCCUGCCCAACCCAAACAGUUCGGUGAAUGUCCCAUCCAAGGGAAGUUUCCACACUGGAACCUGCUUAAUUUGAAAGAGAGAAGAUGGCAGAAGGCAGGAAGGCAUUAUGACAGGGAGGGGUAGGGAGUUGGGGAAUGGGGAGUUGAACAUCAGCUUUGCAUGGCAAAAGCAUAGGUGUCUGUCUGAAAGAAAUCUGAUGCUGAGUUCCUCCACCCCACAUAACUCUCUCUGUCUCACUAUCACAGAGUGACACUCAGUACUCACAUCAGUGCUUUUCAAAACUCAUCAAAUUCUACCUCACAACACCUUUCUACACUGAAUUUUCAUUUCAGUUCUAUGGAUGCUGUUCAGAGGCAGGAAACAUUGCUUUAAGAGCAAGAGGCUUAGAAGCACACUAGGAUCGAAGUCGCUCCUGUUGCUUGUUUCUCCACAGGAGAAGGAUGGGAUCUGGCUGUUUGUGAAUGUGACCUGUCCCCCCUCGUUACUGACGCACACUAUGGGAGGUAAGCUUUUCCAGUCCUCUGUUGGCUGGUGACGUAGUCCAGGGUGCAUACACACACCAGCAUUGUGUCCUGGGGCUUCGAAUGCCUUUAUCUAUGUCAUGCAUUGGUUUUUACAGUUUGCUAUGAAUCACUGAUGCCUGCUGGGAACACAUACCCGCUUCAGG
rnacentral:lncRNA from 1 species